CUGCACCACUGAGUUAAAUCCCCUGCUUUUCAGUGGAAAGACAUCAGAAAUUCCCAGUGAAGCAAAGGUCUAAGGGUACAGUUUCCUCAUCUGUCACAAAGAUAAGAACACACGGACUUCAUGGGAUUGCUGGAAGGAUGGUACAAUGAGAGAUACACAAUCUGUCCAGAUUUCUUCCCGCCGAGCACACAACCAACACCCGCUCUUCUCCUCGGCCCUGAUGAAGUGACAGGUAGGAAGAUGCCACCAGUCCCAGAUGCCACUGCCCCCAGGAGGUUGCAGCCCAGUUCCCUUUCCACAAAAAAGGGGACAAUGAGCUGCAGAGGCUGGAGGCCACAAAGCGAGCUUGGAAAUCUGCGCUGUCUCCUGUGCUCCUCUCCCCCUCUUCCUUCCAGUAACAGACUUGGCCCACCUGUACAUGGCGAGAUGGUGAUUUGGGGCAAACGGGCC